rnacentral:rRNA from 1 species
GACGAACGCUGGCGGCGUGCUUAACACAUGCAAGUCGAACGGAAAGGCCCUGCUUUUGUGCGGUUCUCGAGUGGCGAACGGGUGAGUAACACGUGAGUAACCUCCCCUUGACUUUGGGAUAACUUCAGGAAACUGGGGCUCAUACCGGAUAUGAGCUCCUGCUGCAUGGUGGGGGUUGGAAAGUUUCGGCGGUUGGGGAUGGACUCGCGGCUUAUCAGCUUGUUGGUGGGGUAGUGGCUUACCAAGGCUUUGACGGGUAGCCGGCCUGAGCGGGUGACCGGCGACAUAGGGACUGAGAUAAGGCCGAGGCAGCUAAGGGAGGGAGAAGGGCGGAAGAUUGAAGGAUGGGCGGAAGCCGGAUGCAGCAGGGCCGCGUGCGGGAUGACGGCCUUCGGGUGGAAAACCGAAUUCGCCAGUAACGAAGCGUGAGUGACGGGAACGGAUACAGAAGCACAGGCUAACUACGUG